UGACUAUUCCAUUGAAUCCAGGCCGAGGGGAGCUCUUUGCUUCCCUCCCUCCCUCCCUUCCUUCCUUCCUUCUUCCUUCCCCCUUCUUUCCUUCCUUUCUUCCUUCCUCCUUCCUUCCUUCCCUCCCUCCCUCCCUCUCUUCCUUCCUUCCUUCUUCCUUUCCUUCCUUCCUUCCUUCCCCCUCCCUCCUUCCCCCUCCCUCCUUCCCCCUCCCUCCCCCAGUCCCUCCACUCACUCAUUCACUCCCUCCCUCCCUUCCUUCCUUCCUUCUUUCCUUCCUUCCUUCCUUCCUUCCUUCCUUCCUUCCUUCCUUCCUUCCUUCCUUCCUUCCUUCCCGGAAGCAUCUUCUUGUUGGACAGACACAGUCGAGUGUUUCUCAGACUACAUGACCCUGUGGAUCCCGAGGAGCCACGUGGAGGGGCUGAGGCUGUGGCUGGUCAGGACCUUGCACUUGCCAGGCACCUGGAGGGCCCCUAACCACCUGGAUUCUUCUCUUGCUAAAUGUGGCUACUUCCUGCAUCCGGCUUCAGAUGGUGACUUCUUUUUUCGAGUUCAAUACUCGGCCUGCUUUGUGCAGAAAGAGAAAGCAAAUUACAGGCUGGAAAUCAGAAUAUUUCAGAAAGGGGUGACAAGGUUGGAG
rnacentral:lncRNA from 1 species